AGCAAUACAGCACUGAUACGGGUAUGGUCCGACACCUCUUGAAGGUUAAUAUAGGUUCUCCAUACCUUACUCCGACUCAAUACUUUCACAGAACGGUGUACGGCGUACAGAACGGUAACAUAUCUCCCCAAUGAUCUGAGCUUGGGUACACGGGGAAACCCAACACCUUAGGAGGAUGGGUUAUAUGGAUAAAUUGAGCGGG
rnacentral:ribozyme from 1 species